rnacentral:rRNA from 1 species
UACGAAGGGUGCAAGCGUUACUCGGAAUUACUGGGCGUAAAGCGUGCGUAGGUGGUUUGUUAAGUCUGAUGUGAAAGCCCUGGGCUCAACCUGGGAAUUGCAUUGGAUACUGGCAGGCUAGAGUGCGGUAGAGGGUAGUGGAAUUCCCGGUGUAGCAGUGAAAUGCGUAGAGAUCGGGAGGAACACCAGUGGCGAAGGCGACUACCUGGACCAGCACUGACACUGAGGCACGAAAGGCGUGGGUAGCAAACAGGGA